GGUAUUGAAAUAAGAUUUUAAAUGAGUGCUAAGAGAAUGAUUAAACAAUUAAAAGCUUUCUUUAAUUAAAUAAUUAAAUUUAAUUUUUUUAGUGCAAAAGCAAAAAUAAAAUUUAGGGACAAGAAGACCCUAUGAAUUUUUAUUGUUAAUAAUUAAAAUUUAAAUUAUUAAUAAUUUUAUUGGGGCGAUAAAAAAAGAAUAAGUAUCUUUUUAGUUAUAAAAUAAGUUCCGUUUUUAGCGAUUAAAUGAAAUAAAUACUCUAGGGAUAACAGCGUAAUAAUUUUGGAUAGUUCAUAUAGAUAAAAUAGUUUGCGACCUCGAUGUUGGAUUAGGAUUCUUUUUUGGUGAAGAA
rnacentral:rRNA from 1 species